rnacentral:rRNA from 1 species
GAUGAACGCUGGCGGCGUGCUUAACACAUGCAAGUCGAACGGUGAAGCAGGAGCUUGCUCCUGUGGAUCAGUGGCGAACGGGUGAGUAACACGUGAGCAAUCUGCCCUGGACUCUGGGAUAAGCGUUGGAAACGACGUCUAAUACCGGAUACGAGGCGUGGGGGCAUCCCCAACGCCUGGAAAGAACUUCGGUCCAGGAUGAGCUCGCGGCCUAUCAGGUAGUUGGUGAGGUAACGGCUCACCAAGCCUACGACGGGUAGCCGGCCUGAGAGGGGGACCGGCCCCACUGGGACUGAGACACUGGCCAGACUCCUACGGGAGGCAGCAGUGGGGAAUAUUGCACAAUGGGCGCAAGCCUGAUGCAGCAACGCCGCGUGAGGGACGACGGCCUUCGGGUUGUAAACCUCUUUUAGCAGGGAAGAAGCGAAAGUGACGGUACCUGCAGAAAAAGCACCGGCUAACUACGUGCCAGCCGCCGCAGUAAAAC